GGCCCGUUAGCUCAGUUGGUUAGAGCGUCGUGCUAAUAACGCGAAGGUCGUGGGUUCGAUCCCCCCACCGCGAGGUCGUGGGUUCGAUCCCCCCACGGGCCA